ensembl:lncRNA
CCCUGGGUUGGUGCAGCAUGAAGACAAGGCCUGGUUGGUGGAGCAUGGGGACAGGCCCUGGUUGGUGGAGCAUGAAGACAAGGCCUGGUUGGUGCAGCAUAGGGACAGGGCCUGGUUGGUGGAGCAUGGAGACAGGCCCUGGUUGGUGGAGAAUGAAGACAAGGCCUGGUUGGUGCAGCAUAGGGACAGGGCCUGGUUGGUGGAGCAUGGCGACAGGCCCUGGUUGGUGGAGCAUGAAGACAAGGCCUGGUUAGUGCAGCAUGAAGACAAGGCCUGGUUGGUGGAGCAUGAAGACAAGGCCUGGUUAGUGCAGCAUAGGGACAGGGCCUGGUUGGUGGAGCAUGAAGACAAGGCUUGGUUGGUGGAGCAUGAAGACAGGACAUCAACAGAGCUUGGUGUUUAUUACCAGAGGUCAAGACAUCAACAGAGCUUGGUGUUUAUUACCAGAGGUCAAGACAUCAACAGAGCUUGGUGUUUAUUACCAGAGGUCAGGACAUCAACAGAGCUUGGUGUUUGUCAGAUGUAUUAUAGGUCAUCAGAUGACCUAAUGUUGGAGAAAUACCCCACAAUGGUACAGAUCAUGAAUACUCCCAUUUGCCCUGGUAAAAUGUAUUUAGUAACAUAAAGAAAAUUACAUUUUCACAAACUCUGGGCAGAGUGAGUGUGCGUGUUUGAGGCAGCCCAAUUCUGAUAUUUAUUUCACCAUUUUUAUAAUUUAACCUUUAUUUAACUAGGCAAGUCAGUUGAGAACAAAUUCUAAUUUUCAAUGAAGGUCUAGGAACAGUGUGUUAACUGCCUUGUUCAGGGGAACAGUGGGUUAACUGCCUUGUUCAGGGGAACAGUGGGUUAACUGCCUUGUUCAGGGGAACAGUGUGUUAACUGCCUUGUUCAGGGGAACAGUGGGUUAACUGCCUUGUUCUUAGG